GCCCUUUCCCCGCGGGAAGAGAUUUGAUUAAUAGAAAAAUGCGAGUGUUGGGUGCUACUGAUUUGGGUCAUCUGCAUGCAAUUCAAAAGAAAAAGUUUUUUCUUUUUGUAGGAUAACCCUACUACCAACAGUCACCGUACAAGUAAAAGGCCUUUGGAUGUCUUCCACCACAUACCUUCCUCCAAAGCCCAUUGCCGUCAUCUCCGUGUCAGUUAAAGAAGAAAGUCAUGUCCCUGUCUUGUGAUAUCAAACCCCUCAAGGAUUCCUACAGCCUCUCCACCCAUGCCUGGGGAAGGCUCUGGAGGUUUGUC